rnacentral:rRNA from 1 species
UUCGCAAUGCCCGAAAGGGUGACGAAGGGACGCCGCGUGAGCGAAGAAGGCCCUAGGGUUGUAAAGCUCUGUCGGGGGUUAUGAAAUGCAGAUUGGUUAAUACCCAACCUGUUUGACAAAGGCCCCAAAGGAAGCCACGGCUAACUCUGUGCCAGCAGCCGCGGUAAUACAGAGGUGGCAAGCGUUGUUCGGUAUUAUUGGGCGUAAAGAGCACGUAGGUGGUUUUGUAAGUCAGAUGUGAAAGCCUUCUGUUCAAAGGAAGAACGGCAUCUGAAACUGCAGAUCUUGAGUGUAGGAGGGGAGAGUGGAACUUCUGGUGGAGCGGUGAAAUGCGUAGAUAUCAGAAGGAACGUCGGCGGCGAAAGCGACUCUCUGGCCUAUUACUGACACUGAGUGUGCGAAAGUUAGGGGAGCAAACGGGAUUAAAUACCCCGGUAGUCCUAACUGUAAACGAUGGGCACUAAGUAAAGGGGGUUU